rnacentral:rRNA from 1 species
AGUUUGAUCAUGGCUCAGGAUGAACGCUAGCGGCAGGCCUAACAAAUGCAAGUCGAGGGGUAGAGGGUGCUUGCAUCCUUGAGACCGGCGCACGGGUGCGUAACGCGUAUGCAACCUGCCUUCCACAGGGGAAUAGCCCAGAGAAAUUUGGAUUAAUGCCCCAUGGCACAUCGAGACGGCAUCGUCUUGAUGUUAAAGUAACAACGGUGGAAGAUGGGCAUGCGUCCCAUUAGCUAGUUGGUAAGGUAACGGCUUACCAAGGCUAUGAUGGGUAGGGGUCCUGAGAGGGAGAUCCCCCACACUGGUACUGAGACACGGACCAGACUCCUACGGGAGGCAGCAGUGAGGAAUAUUGGUCAAUGGUCGCAAGACUGAACCAGCCAUGCCGCGUGCAGGAUGACGGUCCUAUGGAUUGUAAACUGCUUUUGUACGGGAAGAAACACCCCUACGUGUAGGGGCUUGACGGUACCGUAAGAAUAAGGAUCGGCUAACUCCGUGCCAGCAGCCGCGGUAAUACGGAGGAUCCAAGCGUUAUCCGGAAUCAUUGGGUUUAAAGGGUCCGUAGGCGGCCCUGUAAGUCAGCGGUGAAAUCUCCCAGCUCAACUGGGAAACUGCCGUUGAUACUGCAGGGCUUGAAUUGCCGGGAAGUAACUAGAAUAUGUAGUGUAGCGGUGAAAUGCUUAGAUAUUACAUGGAAUACCGAUUGCGAAGGCAGGUUACUACCGGCGUAUUGACGCUGAUGGACGAAAG